AUGCCUUGCCGUUUCAGUUUGCUUCCUCACACAUCUGGUUUGUCUCAUAUUUCGUCUGCCUCUGUUCGUGACUUCGACUCACGAUGCAAUGGCCUCACCAUUUCAAACCCGAUUCAACCUUCUUCGAUUCAGACCAACGGACUCGUACAUCAAGAGACGAUAAAAAAUGACGAAUACAAAGCUUACAUUCUCCGGCGCCUCUUCAAAGCUUUAGCGAAACCAACAAGUUCAAAUACAAAUCCACCGAGAGUAGGAUGA